rnacentral:tmRNA from 1 species
GGGGAUGUACCGGUUUCGACGGAAUCGGGAGAUGUUGUAUUGCAAGUGAGAGUGAAGGUUCUCUGAACUGACAAAAAAAUAACUGCAAUUUUCGCAAGAAAAGAAGAAGAAGCUGAAGAAGCUUUCGAAGCAGAAGCACUUGCUGCUUAGUCAGUAGUGCAGGAACUCACCGGGCUCUGUUCCGCGUCUGGUGACUUUCCUUUACCUAUCGGGACUUGCUGGCUGUUGUUUCUGGUCCUCAGCCGGGACUUUUUAAUCAGAAUAAGGAGCCGACGCUUGUUAUGCUGCUACCGUGCUCCUGACAACUACCUCGCAUAACUAAACUUGUAGAAGUGCAAUGUUUACUUUUUCGGACGGGGGUUCAAUUCCCCCCAUCUCCAU